AAGAAACUCUCUUAUUUCACUUGGAGUGAACUAAGAAAUUCGAGUAUUUGGCAUCAAAUGGGCGUUUGAUUGCGUUUGUAUGCCUCUGUAUGGUUGUGUUUAGUUAACUAGGAGUUUGAUUUGCCUUAUCAGUUGAUACAAUGGGAGUGCAGAUUUGGUAAUCAGCUGUUCUUAGCUCAUUACUAUCAAUUAUGGGGUUUAGAUGGAGAGAAUCUUUGUAAAUUUUGGAGACUAUGGGUCUUAGGUUGUAACUUCCCCCUUAAUAUGGUUCUAAUUUUCUGAAAUUUUAGUCCUUGAUGUGUGAUAUAUUUUUAUUGCCUCAUAAUCAUCCAUAGUUCUAGGUUGUAGCUAUCAAACACAAAGGGGAAUCUUUUCAUAGUUAAUAUUUUGGAAGUUGUGAUGUGUUGGAGAUUUGGUAAUUGUGUGCAAGUUGUCUAACUAGUGUUGGCUGCUUCACUCACAAAUUUUCUUCCUACAUUGGCAUUUCUUGAGAAAGAUUAUACAUUAUUGGUUCUUGGGAACUCACCAAUAAUAUUAGUACCGUCAGAAUAAUAUAAUUUCUUUGAUUUCUCUUUUUAGGUUGGAGGUAUUAUGUUUGCUG
rnacentral:misc_RNA from 1 species